rnacentral:rRNA from 1 species
CCUACGGGAGGCAGCAGUGAGGAAUAUUGGUCAAUGGCCGAGAGUCUGAACCAGCCAAGUCGCGUGAGGGAAGACUGCCCUACGGGUUGUAAACCUCUUUUAUCGGGGAGCAAAGCGAGUCACGUGUAACUCAUUGAGAGUACCCGAAGAAAAAGCAUCGGCUAACUCCGUGCCAGCAGCCGCGGUAAUACGGAGGAUGCGAGCGUUAUCCGGAUUUAUUGGGUUUAAAGGGUGCGCAGGCGGAGGUUAAAGUCAGCGGUUAAAGUUCGCGGCUCAACCCCGGACUUGCAGUUGAUACUGGAUCCCUUGAGUGCGCGAGAGGUAUGCGGAAUGCGUGGUGUAGCGGUGAAAUGCAUAGAUAUCACGAAGAACUCCGAUUGCGAAGGCAGCAUACCGGAGCGUAACUGACGCUCAUGCACGAAAGCGUGGGUAUCGAACAGGAUUAGAUACCCGAGUAGUC